rnacentral:rRNA from 1 species
CCUACGGGUGGCUGCAGUGGGGAAUUUUGCACAAUGGGCGAAAGCCUGAUGCAGCAACGCCGCGUGUGUGAUGAAGGUCUUCGGAUCGUAAAGCACUUUCGACCGGGAAGAACAAGCUCGACCUAACACGUCGGGCCCUGACGGUACCGGGAGAAGAAGCACCGGCUAACUCUGUGCCAGCAGCCGCGGUAAUACAGAGGGUGCAAGCGUUGUUCGGAAUUAUUGGGCGUAAAGCGCGUGUAGGCGGCUUGUUAAGUCGGGUGUGAAAUCCCUCA